AACUUCUGAAUGUUGACCUCGGAUCAGGUAGGAAUACCCGCUGAACUUAAGCAUAUCAGUAAGCGGAGGAA
rnacentral:rRNA from 1 species